CAGUCGCCGCGGGAAUACGGAGGGUGCAAGCGUUAAUCGGAAUUACUGGGCGUAAAGCGUGCGUAGGCGGUUCGUUAAGUCUGUUGUGAAAGCCCCGGGCUCAACCUGGGAAUGGCAAUGGAUACUGGCGAGCUAGAGUGUGUCAGAGGAUGGUGGAAUUCCCGGUGUAGCGGUGAAAUGCGUAGAGAUCGGGAGGAACAUCAGUGGCGAAGGCGGCCAUCUGGGACAACACUGACGCUGAGGCACGAAAGCGUGGGGAGCAAACAGGAUUAGAGACCCCUGUAGUCCCUGUCUCUUAUAC
rnacentral:rRNA from 1 species